rnacentral:lncRNA from 1 species
CUGAUUUACACACCUCCCAACUCCCCCUUCCUACACUCAAUUUCACUCUAACAUAUAAAUUAAUUAAGAUUGAUAAUGCUUUCUUUAUUUAUGAAGAUGAAUUCUUUUUAAACUAAUAUAAGGAUAUCAAAUAAGUUCUUCAAUUCUUCAUUGAACGCUAAAUGAGCUAAGCCAAAUCUUUGUUUUAAUACAACACAUAUUUAUAAAAUUAGAAUAAGAAAAAAGAUAGCUGUAGAGACAAUGAAAUUUAUUCUAAUAAGUGAGUAGAUUACUUUAGUAUUAGCAUCAAUGGUAUGAGUCUUCAAUUUGAAUGUCAAUUAUUGAUUUUGGAUAUAAGAGAAGUAGAUAUUCUCUCUUAACAUAUUACAUACACUACUGUGACAAACCAUUAUAUGUCACUAUAACACUCAUUAUCAACAUCCGGCUUUGAAAAAUCUUCUUAGCUAAAGAGUAACCCAUUAAAGUUACUAGGAUUAGAGUUUUCAAUCGUGGCCAUUCAUAACAACCAUAGCAAAAAUUAAAGACUUGAGCUUGGUGUGGUUCAAGAAGGCAGUUCACAAGACUUGAUCAAUUGAUGUCACUCAAGUGAGGUGCUACAAAAACACCUGAACAACCAUGAAUCCAAACCUUUCCCAGAGCUAAAGAACAACCCAAAAAGCCGUUCAAUAAUCCCAUCACAUGCAACACUUCAUCUUUUUUGGAUUUAUCCACUAGAUUGACAAAGAUAGUUUUGGGUCCCACCAAAAGGAGGCCAAGAGGGCCAGGCUGUUGCAGAGUCGGGCGAUCUAGAGUGAAAGGGAACAAAGUAGUUUGGUUGCCAAAAAGGACGCAUCCAAGGCAAAAAAUAAAUAAAUAAAUAGAUAAAGUGGGCGGCAGGACAUGUGUGGCACCAUGUGCCCAAACAACGUCCCACGCAAGGGAUGGGUGUCUGGUCUUCCGGACGAGUGGCAGACAGCAUGGUGUUUGCAAUAAUGACUAAGUGGGUUAUCUGUUUUAAGUUCCUGCUCUAAUGCUAGAUCCUAGUUUUGCAU